GAUUCCUACGGGAGGCAGCAGUGGGGAAUAUUGCACAAUGGGCGAAAGCCUGAUGCAGCGACGCCGCGUGAGGGAUGAAGGCCUUCGGGUUGUAAACCUCUUUCAGCAGGGAAGAAGCGCAAGUGACGGUACCUGCAGAAGAAGCACCGGCUAACUACGUGCCAGCAGCCGCGGUAAUACGUAGGGUGCAAGCGUUGUCCGGAAUUAUUGGGCGUAAAGAGCUUGUAGGCGGUUUGUCGCGUCUGCUGUGAAAUUUCGGGGCUCAACCCCGAACUUGCAGUGGGUACGGGCAGACUAGAGUGUGGUAGGGGAGACUGGAAUUCCUGGUGUAGCGGUGAAAUGCGCAGAUAUCAGGAGGAACACCGAUGGCGAAGGCAGGUCUCUGGGCCACUACUGACGCUGAGAAGCGAAAGCAUGGGGAGCGAACAGGAUUAGAUACCCUGGUAGUCCAUGCCGUAAACGUUGGGAACUAGGUGUGGGCCUCAUUCCACGAGGUCCGUGCCGCAGCUAACGCAUUAAGUUCCCCGCCUGGGGAGUACGGCCGCAAGGCUAAAACUCAAAGGAAUUGACGGGGGCCCGCACAAGCGGCGGAGCAUGCGGAUUAAUUCGAUGCAACGCGAAGAACCUUACCAAGGCUUGACAUGUGCCGGAAAAGUGCAGAGAUGUGCUCCCCGCAAGGUCGGUACACAGGUGGUGCAUGGUUGUCGUCAGCUCGUGUCGUGAGAUGUUGGGUUAAGUCCCGCAACGAGCGCAACCCUCGUUCUAUGUUGCCAGCACGUGAUGGUGGGGACUCAUAGGAGACUGCCGGGGUCAACUCGGAGGAAGGUGGGGAUGACGUCAAAUCAUCAUGCCCCUUAUGUCUUGGGCUUCACGCAUGCUACAAUGGCCAGUACAAAGGGCUGCGAUACCGUAAGGUGGAGCGAAUCCCAAAAAACUGGUCUCAGUUCGGAUUGGGGUCUGCAACUCGACCCCAUGAAGUCGGAGUCGCUAGUAAUCGCAGAUCAGCAACGCUGCGGUGAAUACGUUCCCGGGCCUUGUACACACCGCCAUCGGAUCCCCG
rnacentral:rRNA from 1 species